rnacentral:rRNA from 1 species
UGGGGAAUAUUGCACAAUGGGCGCAAGCCUGAUGCAGCCAUGCCGCGUGUAUGAAGAAGGCCUUCGGGUUGUAAAGUACUUUCAGCGAGGAGGAAGGCAUUGUGGUUAAUAACCGCAGUGAUUGACGUUACUCGCAGAAGAAGCACCGGCUAACUCCGUGCCAGCAGCCGCGGUAAUACGGAGGGUGCAAGCGUUAAUCGGAAUUACUGGGCGUAAAGCGCACGCAGGCGGUGUGUCAAGUCGGAUGUGAAAUCCCCGGGCUCAACCUGGGAACUGCAUCCGAAACUGGCAGGCUAGAGUCUUGUAGAGGGGGGUAGAAUUCCAGGUGUAGCGGUGAAAUGCGUAGAGAUCUGGAGGAAUACCGGUGGCGAAGGCGGCCCCCUGGACAAAGACUGACGCUCAGGUGCGAAAGCGUGGGGAGCAAACA